rnacentral:rRNA from 1 species
UGGGGAAUCUUGCGCAAUGGGGGAAACCUUGACGCAGCAACGCCGCGUGGGUGAUGAAGGCCUUCGGGUCGUAAAGCCCUGUCAGGUGGGAAGAAACUUGUGGAUGUAAAUACCAUCCGCACUUGACGGUACCACCGGAGGAAGCACCGGCUAACUCCGUGCCAGCAGCCGCGGUAAUACGGAGGGUGCAAGCGUUGUUCGGAAUUAUUGGGCGUAAAGCGCGUGUAGGUGGUCAGGUAAGUCAGAUGUGAAAGCCUUCUGCUUAACAGAAGAAGUGCAUUUGAAACUGCUUGGCUAGAGUACGGGAGAGGAGAGUGGAAUUCCCGGUGUAGAGGUGAAAUUCGUAGAUAUCGGGAGGAACACCAGUGGCGAAGGCGGCUCUCUGGUCCGAUACUGACACUGAGACGCGAAAGCGUGGGGAGCAAACAGG